AAGUCUUGACAUCCCGGUGACCGCCCUAGAGAUAGGGCUUCCCUUCGGGGCAACGGUGACAGGUGGUGCAUGGUUGUCGUCAGCUCGUGUCGUGAGAUGUUGGGUUAAGUCCCGCAACGAGCGCAACCCUUACGGUUAGUUGCUACGCAAGAGCACUCUAGCCGGACUGCCGUUGACAAAACGGAGGAAGGUGGGGACGACGUCAAAUCAUCAUGCCCCUUAUGACUUGGGCUACACACGUACUACAAUGGCAGUCAUACAGAGGGAAGCAAAACCGCGAGGUGGAGCAAAUCCCUAAAAGCUGUCCCAGUUCAGAUUGCAGGCUGCAACCCGCCUGCAUGAAGUCGGAAUUGCUAGUAAUCGCGGAUCAGCAUGCCGCGGUCAAUACGUUCCCGGGCC
rnacentral:rRNA from 1 species